CUUGCAUCUGUAAUCAUAGGGAAGAGUCUAAUUUCUCUUUGCCCCUAGGCACUGAUCCUAAUUGAGAUAUUCUUUUGUCUGUGAAACCUCUUUCCCAAUACAGAUGCCACUGAAAGUUAUAUUCUUAGACCUGGAUUACAUACUCUGGUGGUUCAUAAUGCUUAUCUCUAAUUCAAGGUGAGUAUCGUGAUGCCGGGAUGCAGGUGGCGCUGUGGGCUAAACCACAGAGCCUAGGACUUGCCGAUCAGAAGGUUGGUGGUUUGAAUCCCCGCGACGGGGUGAGCUCCCGUUGCUCGGUCCCUGCUCCUGCCCACCUAGCAGUUCGAAAGCACGUCAAAAGUGCAAGUAGAUAAAUAGGUACCACUCCGGCGGGAAGGUAAACGGUGUUUCCGUGCACUGCUCUGGUUCACCAGAAGCGGCUCAGUCAUGCCGUCCACAUGACCUGGAAGCUGUACGAUGGCUCCCUCGGCCAAUAAAGUGAGAUGAGCGCCGCAACCCCAGAGUCGGCCACGACUGGACCUAAUGGUCAGGGGUCCCUUUACCUUUACCUUUACCGUGAUGCCACCUCAGAUUUUAAUCAGCUUACUCAACUUCGUCCUCUUCCUUUUUCUCUUUCCAACCCACCAAAGCGUCAUCUCCCUUACCUCUGCUGUUGCACAAGUAACCUGUUCCAGAGUGCUGAGGAAUCUCUGCUGAGCAACAUUGGAGAUUUUCUGGAGAGGGCGAAGGAUCUAAUAGGGCGGCUUUGCGCUGACAGUCAAAUGCAACUCGUUGAAAUAUGCACCAUGCAUGCAAAUCGCUUUCAUGCCUCUGCAUCCCACAAUACAGCUGGGUGUCGCCUGUUUCCUGGCAAACACCUGUUCCUAUUCUAAAAUGGC